rnacentral:rRNA from 1 species
GUCUCCGGCCACACCACCCUGAACACGCCCGAUCCCGUCUGAUCUCGGAAGCUAAGCAGGGUCGGGCCCGGUUAGUCCUUGGAUGGGAGACCACCCAGGAAGACCAGGCGCUGUAGGCG